rnacentral:rRNA from 1 species
UAGUCAUAUGCUUGUCUCAAAGAUUAAGCCAUGCAUGUCUAAGUAUAAACAAAUCUAUACUGUGAAACUGCGAAUGGCUCAUUAAAUCAGUUAUAGUUUAUUUGAUAAUACCUACUACUUGGAUAACCGUGGUAAUUCUAGAGCUAAUACAUGCAAAAAAACCCGACUUCUGGAAGGGUUGUAUUUAUUAGAUACAAAACCAAUGCGGGGCAACCCGGUUUUUUGGUGAUUCAUAAUAACUUCGCGAAUCGCAUGACCUUGUGUCGGCGAUGAUUCAU